GGUAGCCGGCCUGAGAGGGUGACCGGCCACACUGGGACUGAGAUACGGCCCAGACUCCUACGGGAGGCAGCAGUGGGGAAUAUUGCACAAUGGGCGCAAGCCUGAUGCAGCGACGCCGCGUGGGGGAUGACGGCCUUCGGGUUGUAAACCUCUUUCAGCAGGGACGAAGGGUGACUGACGGUACCUGUAGAAGAAGGACCGGCCAACUACGUGCCAGCAGCCGCGGUAAUACGUAGGGUCCGAGCGUUGUCCGGAAUUACUGGGCGUAAAGAGCUCGUAGGUGGUUUGUCACGUUGUUCGUGAAAACCCACAGCUUAACUGUGGGCGUGCGGGCGAUACGGGCAGACUGGAGUACUGCAGGGGAG
rnacentral:rRNA from 1 species